AGACGUCUACAUUAGAUACCCCUGUAGUCCUAGCCGUAAACGAUACUCGCUAGGUGUCGGCCACGGUGCGACCGUUGUCGGUGCCGUAGGGAAGCCGUGAAGCGAGCCACCUGGGAAGUACGGCCGCAAGGCUGAAACUUAAAGGAAUUGGCGGGGGAGCACCACAACGGGUGGAGCUUGCGGUUUAAUUGGAUUCAACGCCGGAAAUCUUACCGGGACCGACAGCAACAUGAAGGCCAGGCUGAAGACUUUGCCGGAUUAGCUG
rnacentral:rRNA from 1 species